rnacentral:lncRNA from 1 species
GAGGAACAUUAUUCCUGAGCUAACAUCUGUGCCAGCCUUCCUCUACUUUGUAUGUGGGUCACCACCACAACAUGGCCACUGACAAGUAGUAUACAUGCAUACCUGGGAACCAAACCUGGGCCGCUGAAGCAGAGCACACCAAACUUAACUCCUGGGCCAUAGAGCCAGCCCCCAAAAUACUCUUCAACAUGUCUCUUUUAUUUUCCAUUUCUGACAAUUUUAAGAUUCUUAAGUGCACCUGCUAUCUCAAACUCUGGGAAAUAUCUUUCUCCAGGGACUCCAGAUGAUUUCUAACUAUCCACACAGUAAAAUCUU